rnacentral:lncRNA from 1 species
CCGAGAUGGUGCCACUGCACUCCAGACUGGGGGACAGAGAGAGACUCCGUCUCGGGGGAAAAAAAAGAAGAUAAGGAUGUAGCUAGAAGACACUGGGUAGGCAGCUUCUACAAUGGACCCCAGUGAUCCUUCCCUCCCGGUAUUCAAACCCUCUGUAAUCCCUUCCUUCAUGUGGGCUGGACUUUGCAACUUGCUCUUAAGGAAUACAGUGUGGCAAAAGUGAUGGAUAGCACCUCCAAGACUAGAUUUAAAAAGAGACGAUGGCUCAUGUCUUACAUGCCCUCUCUUGCUCUCUCACUUGCUGCCUUUGACCUGCCUUAUGGAGACGCUCAUGUGGCAAGGAACGAAGGCCUCCAGCCAAGAGCCACCAAGGAACUGGUUUUCAGUCCAACAACCAGCAAGGAGCUGAAUCCUGCCAACUACUGCAUGAGUAGACCUGGAAAUAGAUCUUCCCUAAGUGGACCCUUCACGUGAAACCUAUUAUGGACUGAAUGCUAGUGUCCUUCUGAAAUUCACAUAAAAUCCUAACCUCCAUUGUGAUAGUAUUAGUGAGAAGGUGGCUGACUGCAAGCCAGGAAGAGGGUCCUCAUGAGGAAAUGAAUUGACUGGCACCUUGAUCUUGUGGCACCUUGAUCUUGGACUUCCCAGCCUCUAUAACUGUGAGAAAUAAAUGUCUGUUGUUUUAGCCACCCAGUCUGUGGUAUUUUGUUAUGACAAGCUCAGCUGACUAAGUAAUUAAUACCAAGAAGCGGUUUGCUGCUGUAACAAAUAACUAAAAGUGUGGAAGCAGCUUUGGAACUGGGUAGUGGGUAGAGGC